rnacentral:lncRNA from 1 species
UUAAAGGUGUGUGCCACCACUUUAUCCUACCUGGGAUAAUCUUUGUAGCUUGGUACAAAUGGCAUCAGAGUUUCCAACAAUUGGAAAAAUGGCAGGCAUCCUGUGCCGGUCAUUGUCUCUGUCAGCACUGGGAAGAUGAAGCCGUUACAGAAGCAUAUCUUGUUUCAUGGACAGUUAAGACAUUACAUUCUGCAACCCCUUAGUCUACUGAUGAACUUUCUCUUUUGCUGCUGAAUGUCGUGUGGGGCUUUAUCUUUCCUUGUCAGCCUGGAUGUCUCUGGUAAUGAGGACUUGAAUCAUGAAGCAGCCAGCAUUGCAGAGCUUCCAGCUUUUUCUAUCAUGGUUCAGGUAUACGUGAAUCUGCUCAGCAACUGUACUCAUCUUCUAGAGGGUCCAGCCUGUGUAGACAAGCAGGCAACCGUGUAAGACCAGGGCACAAGGCAGCCACAGCAAUGCCAGGAAGAUGUAGCGGGAACCUGGGAGCCUUAGCCAGGAGCCCUACUCCGCCUCCAGUUGAGGUAACUGGCUAGAUUCCUUGAAGUGUGCAUACAGAUCUUAUUGGCCAGUGUAGAUGAGCACACACUAAAUAGCACUGGCUCACACUUCUUAGGGCACCUCCCAAGUUUUCCCACAGUAUCCCAGUCUGAGGCCACAUACCUGUGACUCAGCAGAUAAAAUGUGGGCCGACAAGCUGCUUCCUUGAAGAGGCGGCUCCUCUCUUUAAGGCCCCUGGGACUUAUGUAUGCAUAGCUUGAAAAUGAGUUUAGCCAAGAAUCCUGUUGGCAGAUACGGGGAGUGCACACUGCUAAGCAGCAGCUUGGGAUUCUAACGGACACCAGCGCCUGACAGUCAGGGCAUACCUAGUCCUUUUGGAGGAGAGGCACGGCGAUCUUCUCUGGGUCUGUGGGACAUUGGAAUGUGCACUAUGGAUGAUGGCUACUCCCAUCCAUUUAUGAGACUGAAAAUCUGAGGACAGCCAGGGAUGGCUGUACAAUCCGGAAUCCCAGCAUUUAGGGGAGAAAGGCAGGGGGACCAGGAGUUGCAGACCACCUUCAGCUACAUAGGAAGUUCAAGUCCAGCCUGUGCUACAUUGAGCCUGACUCAGUAAACAACAUUUUC